rnacentral:lncRNA from 1 species
AGCCUCCUCUAGGCAUUGUGGGACUGGCUGCCGAGUUCGUGCCCAGGGUCUACUUUUAUUUUCUAAUGAUGCAUUAAAAUUUGUUUGCUUGUUUCAUUUCUUAUGAAGCCAGAAUGAUCCAGAACUAACUAAAGUAGCCCAGCUGGAUUUGUGCUCCUGAUCCCCUGCCUCUACCUCCUCAUAUUGUAAUAUAUAAGCAUGCCAUUGUACUCCUUAACUAUUUUGUGAAAAAUGAACAAACAAACAAAAAACUCACAAUGAGUGUUGGUAUAAACUUAUAAUUGCAGCACUCAAGAGAGUGAGACAGGAAGUUUGUGAGUUCAAAGCCAGCCUGGGCUGUGUAGCAAACUGAAAAGAAAAAAAAGUAAAAAAGAAAACCACAGCAAAAAUGUCAGUAGCACUGGGGUCAGCAUAAUCGAAAUUGAAUCCUAUGUGGAUGUUCAUAUAUUCAAUAGGUCUGAAAAAAUGCCAUGUGCUCUUUGAUGUUUCUUUGCCUUUAAUUUUGUCAAAUUAUGAAUUUUGCAAAGCUAUAGAGAAAAACAAAACAAGAAGUUCCAUUAUAUGCAAACAUAUCUAGGCUUCUUUUUCCUCACCAUUAUUUUUUGUAAAGAAAUUCUCAGUGCAUCUGAUGCUCUAGAAGGGGAUGUAGCCAGUGAUGUAUUCCCUACAUCCCCGCUUAAUCAUCUGUGGCAUGUGUGCUGGCAGGCAGGCUCUGCUCCUAGAAAUCAAGCCUACAGAGUAUUACAGGACAAUUAAAAGUGGUCAUUUUUAUUCUGCAUCAUUUAAAAGCAGAUUUAUGAGAUGUUUAAGGGCACACAGCAUUUGCCCAUGUCUGUGUGCCUAUGUGUGUGCAUGUGAGUAUGUGUGUGUAAGUGUGUGUACUUGAGUGUAUGUAUGUCCAUCCUGCUAUGAGGAACUCUGAGACCUGUAUAUGCCCAGGAAGUGCUCUACCUCUGCACUACAACCCCAGCUUAGAUUAGACUGUACUAUUCUCCACUUCUGGUCGUAGAUCUAUUGAGAAACACUUUCUCAAGUACUAUAAGUAAAAGGGUGUGUGUCUUAACCACAUACAAGACUGUAGAGAAACCCUUCAGAAAGCCCAGUGUCUUCAGAGACCUGCUGGUUUUGUUAAUGUGUCUGCACAUUCUUUCUCUCUCUCUCUCUCUCUCUCUCUCUCUCUCUCUCUCUCUCUCUCUCUCUCUCUCUCUCCCCUCCCUUUCCUUUCUCCUUCCUCUUCUUUCUUUCCUUCCUUUCUUUUUCUUUUUCUUUUUCUUUUUGAGACAUGGUCUCAUUAUGUAGCUCUGGAUGUCCUGGGACUCACUCUGUAGACCAGGCUGGCCUGAACUCACAGAGAUCUGCCUGCCUCUGCCUCCCAGUGCUGGAUUUACCCCUAUUCCCUGCUAAAUUUUCAUCCUAAAAUGUAGUUGAAUCCAUUUUUGUUUUGUUCUCUGAGUUUUCAGUUACUACCAUCAACUGUAUAUUGAAAAAAUAUUAAACAGAAAAUUCUAAGAGCAAAAAUUUCACAGACACCAAAUAACUUAUUAUAAUAUAGUGUUAAUUUUGUUCUAUUUUAUUGUUAGGUAUUAUUAAUCUAAACGUAUAUCUAACUUAUAAACUAAACUUUGUCACAGAUAUGCAUAUAUAGGAAAAAAUCUAUUGAUUUCUUUAUUAUUAAAUAUGAUACAGUUUCAAGCAUCAGAUGGGAGUUAGGAAAGUAUCUGUCAGCCCCCAGGAAGGGAGUGGUUGCUCUCUUGUUCAUUCCAGGAACCUCUCCAGACGUGGGCUCCUUUCUCCUCUGAUUCCUAAGUGACCAUGCCAUUACAGAUAGGUGAUACAUCUUCUUUGCUUAGUAAUUAUAGUAGUAGCUUGUGGUGAGAUCCUUCCUAUGGGUCAGUAGACAGACUUGGGACCACUUGCUGGGAACUUUUCUUGGAGUUCCACAGGUUGUAUUCAGAGCUGAGGUUACCUGUCAGCAGGCAGUCACCUUGCAGAAGCGUUGUUGACUGUGAUAGUUACAGGCAGGGUAUCUGUUCUUUGCAGUUCCUCCACUUGACUCUCGGUGAUCACAGGAGACCUCAAGCUCAUCAGUGGAAUAACAUGACAGAGAAAUGGACACAAACUGAAAGCAACCAUGGUGCUCUCUCCAUUGGUUCUUCUGGAGCUCGUUUCUCUUCCUUACCAGGCUUUGAAGAUUAUCUUCCAUUUGCAUACAAUAUUUGACACUCAAAAGGAAAUAUUUAUGGAGCUUCAAAUUUGAUUACUAGAAGUAAUAACUUUAAAUAACUUUCAUGCAAUAUCUGGAGUGUGCUUUUUAAAUAUCUUGUAAAUAAAAGUCUUUAAGUAAUUGUAAAAUGUACCAGGAAACACAUGGUUAAAGCAUUGUAAGAAAAACCAUCUGCUAAGGAAUUGUACUGUAAAAGAACAUCCCUGUUUCCCUGGCCACAUCAGUGAAAGCUUGUGGUGGCUCACAGGACUGGAAGAAAAUGGAAAGUUUCCAGGGCAGUAAGCAUGACUCUUUGCCUCUCUCCUGUCCUUUCUACUGCAGAAGGACACACUGUCACUGUCAUUGUAUCUCAGACAAUGUUCUAAUCCCAGUCCCUUGGCUUCAUCUGAAGGUAGCCAAGAAGGGAUAAACCUGUCUCCUGAUAAACAAAGUCAAAGAGUUUCCAAAGAUGUCCCAAAGCAAUGCAUCUGUUAUCCCACAACCUUUCUUAAAGCCAAGGGCUCCAUGUAACACAUUGACAACGCACAGGAAUGUUAAAAAAUGCAAAAUAUUUCAUAUUUAGAAAAACUGAUGCCGACAGUAUUCUACAGACACACACACAUGCCUUCUCCAUGAGAUCAUCUUGGUUACUGGAAAGGGAAAAGGUGGCAAGCUUGGGAAAUGGCAGCUUCCACCAAAUGUGUGAACAAGAGAAAAGCUGGUUUCUCCUCCCUCCUCUCUGAAGCCUGUUCCCACCAGGAAAAGGCUGUCCUGUUUCUCUUUUCGCUGAACACUUAGCAGUUCCUGAAGCCAGAUUUCUUACAGAGGAAAGAGGGAGAAGGGUGAGAGGCAAAUUGUGGGAUUUCCAGUCAUGUGUUUGGCAUGGUGCUUGUUAAAUUGGAUGAUUAUGUUAUUCUUUAUUUUCCUAACUUCCUGCAACAUCUAUUUAAAAUAGAAAGAAAGAUAACACAGCAACCAAGUAUUUGUUUGUAUCCCCAAGUAUUUGCUCUAUCAAUAGACACCAGAGAAGUUUGUUUAUAUCAGCAAGUUUCAUGGUGACCAAGUCAUGGAAUCAGCCCAGGUAUGCCUCAACAGAUGAAUGAAGAGCAUGUGGAGUUUUUUGUUUUUUGUUUCUUUCCAGCAUAAUAAGUAAAUGAGCCAAGAAUAGUGGUAUACAUCUGUGAUCCCAGAGCCUAGAAGGUGGAGACAAAUGGGUCAGGAGAUCAGGGUAUCCUCAGCUAUAUACCAAGUUCAAAACCACCCUGGCUGUCAUAAGACACUGGAAAUAACAAAAUGAACAAUAACAACAACAACAAAGUGGGAUUGUGGCAUUUGCUAGAAAACAGAACUAGCUGGACUGUAUUACACAGAAUAAGCCAAAUUCAGAAAGACAAAUAACACACUUUCUCUCGUUUGUUGACCCGAGAUUGUACAUAUCUUACCCAUACACUGUGCCCCACCCCCAUCAUGAAUCUAGAAGCUCAGCAGAAGGAAAAGGGAUUGUGGGAGGAAGGAGACAUUGGCCGUGUGAGUAUAGGUGUUUAUAAAACUCAGCACUAUGUGCUAUAACAACCCACGUAAGCAAAGGGCUCCAUCACCAAGGCUGGAGUUCCUUCUCUACAGGCCAUGCAAAGAACCAAUUCUAGCCAGGUGGUGGCAGCGCACACCUUUAACCUCAACACUGGAGCAGAGGCAGGCAGAUCUCUUUUGUGAGGCCAGCCUGGUCUAUUGUGCAAGUUCUAGGACAGCCAAGUCUGCCUAGGGAAACCCUGUCUC